rnacentral:snRNA from 1 species
CAUCAUCAUUUUCUGUUU